AAGCAGGAUUUAGACUACAAUAUAGCUUCUAAGUGCUGUGUUGUCGUUCCCCCUGCUAAAAAUAAAGUUGUUUCUUUACUAUACCUGUCUGCUAUGCUCCAGUAGCAGCCAGGGACGCUUGGUCUCAUACAU
rnacentral:snoRNA from 1 species